rnacentral:tRNA from 2 species
UGGUCCCGUGGUGUAGCGGUUAUCACGUCGCCCUGUCACGGCGAAGAUCGCGGGUUCGAUUCCCGUCGGGACCGU